CUGAGUACGGCGGAACACGUGAAAUUCCGUCGGAAUCCGGGAGGACCAUCUCCCAAGGCUAAAUACUCCCUAGUGACCGAUAGUGAACCAGUACCGUGAGGGAAAGGUGAAAAGCACCCCGGAAGGGGAGUGAAACAGUUCCUGAAACCGUGUGCCUACAAGUAGUUAGAGCCCGUUAAUGGGUGAUAGCGUGCCUUUUGUAGAAUGAACCGGCGAGUUACGAUUUGUUGCAAGGUUAAGCGGAAAAAGCGGAGCCGUAGCGAAAGCGAGUCUGAAUAGGGCGCAUAAGUAACAGGUCGUAGACCCGAAACCAGGUGAUCUACCCAUGUCCAGGAUGAAGGUAAGGUAAUACUUACUGGAGGUCCGAACCCACGCACGUUGAAAAGUGCGGGGAUGAGGUGUGGGUAGCGGAGAAAUUCCAAUCGAACUUGGAGAUAGCUGGUUCUCUCCGAAAUAGCUUUAGGGCUAGCCUCGAGGUAAAGAGUCAUGGAGGUAGAGCACUGUUUGGACUAGGGGCCCUUCUCGGGUUACCGAAUUCAGAUAAACUCCGAAUGCCAUGUACUUAUACUCGGGAGUCAGACUGCGAGUGAUAAGAUCCGUAGUCGAAAGGGAAACAGCCCAGACCACCAGUUAAGGUCCCCAAAUAUAUGUUAAGUGGAAAAGGAUGUGGGGUUGCUUAGACAACCAGGAUGUUGGCUUAGAAGCAGCCACCAUUGAAAGAGUGCGUAAUAGCUCACUGGUCGAGUGACCCCGCGCCGAAAAUGUACCGGGGCUAAACAUAUUACCGAAACUGUGGAUGAACCUCUUUAGAGGUUCGUGGUAGGAGAGCGUUCUAAGGGCGGUGAAGUCAGACCGGAAGGACUGGUGGAGCGCUUAGAAGUGAGAAUGCCGGUAUGAGUAGCGAAAGAAGGGUGAGAAUCCCUUCCACCGAAUAUCUA
rnacentral:rRNA from 1 species